rnacentral:rRNA from 1 species
AUUCCAGCUCCAAUAGCGAAUACUAAUUCUGCUGCAGUUAAAAAGCUCGUAGUUGAACUUCUGGUAGGACAGAUCCGGCCUUUGGAUGAAUGUCCAUUGUAUGCUGUGUGUCUUGUCUGGCCAUCCUUUAUGUCUUUUAGGCGUAAUCUUUCACUGUAAAAAAAUUAGGGUGUUUCAAGCAAAAGUUAUUUGGAAUAUAUUAGUAUGGGAUGAUAAGAUAGGCUCUUGAGUGCUACUUUGUUGGUUUAUACACUUAGAGAAUGAUUAAUAGGGAUAGUUGGGGGUAUUCAUAUUUGGUUGUCAGAGGUGAAAUUCUUGGAUUUUUCAAAGAUGAACAAGUGCGAAAGCAUUUACCAAGGAUGUUUUCAUCA